rnacentral:rRNA from 1 species
UACAGAGGGGGCGAGCGUUGUUCGGAAUUACUGGGCGUAAAGGGCGCGUAGGCGGCCUUCUAAGUCGAACGUGAAAUCCCCGGGCUCAACCCGGGAACUGCGUCCGAUACUGGCAGGCUUGAAUUCGGGAGAGGGAUGCGGAAUUCCAGGUGUAGCGGUGAAAUGCGUAGAUAUCUGGAGGAAUACCGGUGGCGAAGGCGGCAUCCUGGACCAUAACUGACGCUGAGGCGCGAAAGCUAGGGGAGCAAACGGG